rnacentral:rRNA from 1 species
AGGGUCCACCCGUUCCCAUCCCGAACACGGAAGUUAAGCUCGCUUCUGCCCACGAUACUUGGCUGGAGACGGCCCGGAAAAAUAGGUAGCGCCAACA